CCUUCUUACACGCAGUUCUUCAUGUACUUCCCCAAGACGAAUACGGAGGGAGCAUUAGCUUGGCUUCAGGAGUGCUUGUGGAGUUCUAAGGCUACUACUCGGCUUGUAGAAGCUGGAUAGUAGACAACCUCUUGGCUUGAACAAGCCCAAAUGUAGACGUCUUC
rnacentral:lncRNA from 1 species